rnacentral:rRNA from 1 species
GACGAACGCUGGCGGCGUGCUUAACACAUGCAAGUCGAACGAAGAGCGACGGAAGCUUGCUUCUAUCAAUCUUAGUGGCGAACGGGUGAGUAACGCGUAAUCAACCUGCCCUUCAGAGGGGGACAACAGUUGGAAACGACUGCUAAUACCGCAUACGAUCUAAUCUCGGCAUCGAGGAUGGAUGAAAGGUGGCCUCUACAUGUAAGCUAUCACUGAAGGAGGGGAUUGCGUCUGAUUAGCUAGUUGGAGGGGUAACGGCCCACCAAGGCGAUGAUCAGUAGCCGGUCUGAGAGGAUGAACGGCCACAUUGGGACUGAGACACGGCCCAGACUCCUACGGGAGGCAGCAGUGGGGAAUCUUCCGCAAUGGACGAAAGUCUGACGGAGCAACGCCGCGUGAGCGAUGACGGCCUUCGGGUUGUAAAGCUCUGUUAAUCGGGACGAAAGGCCUUCUUGCGAAUAGUGAGAAGGAUUGACGGUACCGGAAUAGAAAGCCACGGCUAACUACGUG